CCUACGGGGGGCUGCAGUGGGGAAUAUUGGACAAUGGGGGGAACCCUGAUCCAGCCAUGCCGCGUGUGUGAAGAAGGCCCUCGGGUUGUAAAGCACUUUCAGUGAGGAAGAACGCCUGGUGGUUAAUACCCAUCAGGAAAGACAUCACUCACAGAAGAAGCACCGGCUAACUCCGUGCCAGCAGCCGCGGUAAUACGGAGGGUGCGAGCGUUAAUCGGAAUUACUGGGCGUAAAGCGCGCGUAGGUGGCUUGAUAAGCCGGUUGUGAAAGCCCCGGGCUCAACCUGGGAACGGCAUCCGGAACUGUCAAGCUAGAGUGCAGGAGAGGAAGGUAGAAUUCCCGGUGUAGCGGUGAAAUGCGUAGAGAUCGGGAGGAAUACCAGUGGCGAAGGCGGCCUUCCGGACUGACACUGACACUGAGGUGCGAAAGCGUGGGUAGCAAACAGGAUUAGAUACCCUAGUAGUC
rnacentral:rRNA from 1 species